AGAAGAUGGACAGUUCAUCUUUGCCCUAAAUUUUCUCUCCAUUUCUGCUCAAAUUUUAGUCUGCAAAUAGAACAAGGAAUUCCCAUUCUAUCCAGGUGGUUGAUCUUCAAACGAUUCAAAUUUACUGCAUCAAAGGGAGUUAAACUUGGGCCAGCAUUUGUCUUCACAAGAGUUUUUUUUGAAGAUUGAGAGUUUUGAUUACAAAGAUGAAGAGGGCUAGAGAUGAUAUGUACAUGGCUUCUCAACUCAAACGCCCCAUCGUCUCCUCUCGCGCCGAACCCUCUGGGCAAUCCCAGAUGAUGGGUGGAGCGAGCACACAGAAACUAACUACCAAUGAUGCAUUGGCAUAUCUCAAGGCAGUUAAGGACAUAUUUCAAGAUAAAAGGGCUAAAUAUGAUGAGUUUCUUGAAGUU